AACACAGUAGAAGAAGAAGGCGACCGGAAGUUGAUUUUGCCGAAAAGCAAGCAAAGCAGGUCGUUAAAAAACAUCAGUUUGAGCUCGUCCCGUUACCAAAAUGAAACUGAACAUAGAUCUGCCAAGAGAAAGAUAGAAUAAAGAGUAGUGGGAGCGAUUGAAGCGUGACUUCAUUCAAGGUUUACUGUAUAGAGCUGCACAGGGCGAGCAAAUCUAAGCUAGCUGUGACACGGAUUGACAGAAUGGCCAGAUAUCGAGGUCAGUUUUCCCUUUAUGUAUCAUACAUCAACAUAAAUAACUUUAAAGCUGUUAUACCCAUCCUGCUACAGGCUCAGUUUGAUGAAAGGACACAGUUUGUAAUCGUAUGUAAUCUACCAGUGAGGUGAUGUUUGAUCCUUGUGUCUGCAUCCUCUGUUAGAUCCUCACCUCCCUCUGUCAUCCCUCCACCUCCUCAUUCCUCCUCUGAGGAUGACUGCAGCUUGUAUGUGGCAGGUGGCCUUGGACCGAAAUGUGGACCGGUAUGAACAACUGGCUGAAUUCAUCACACUGGUGACAGAGAUAGUCCCAGAUCUUCUGAGCUCCGGGCAGAGGACUCAGCUCAUCCUGGGACUGAGAGCCAGGGUGAGUUAGGUUCAUUCAUCAAUCAAUCAAUCAAUCAAAAUCUAUUUAUAAAGCGCUUUUUCUACAGGAAUGUGACUCAAAGUGCUUUACAGUCAAGUUAAAAACAAAAACUAUCCCAGAUGCCCCCUUACCACACACACAUACACGCCAACGAACAUACUCACACUAAGAGAAUGGACAUGAGGCAGAGGAACCAGUUGAGAAGGAGCCGUCAGCACCAGGAGCAGAGAGCCGCCCGCAGCCACAGGGCCAGCGGAGGGAUGUGUCCGACAGCAACCUUCACCAGGAGCCCCGUGGCCGGCCCCUGCAACCACAAGCGACCACUGCUCCCGGUGCCGAGGGCUCCCUCAGAGGAAACACUGGGGGUCCUAAAAAUGAUAAAAGGAUAAAAACAAGUAAAAAAUAAAAUAUGAAUAAAACACAGACCUAAAAUAAACCUAGGCUAACUAGAAUAAAUGAAGAUAAAACAAAUAAAUAUAAAUUAAAAGCUAAGCUAAAAAGGUGGGUCUUGAGCCUGUUCUUAAAAACAUUAACGUUUUCCGCGCCCCUGAGGUCCUCUGGCAGGCUGUUCCAUAAUAUCGAAAAGACGCCUCGCCAUGAGUUUGACUGCCAUAAGACUGCUUGUGUCAGUAAGACACAAAUAACCUGCAGAGACUGGGUCACAAAGUACGCAAGCCGUCUCAUGCUGCAGAGGGACUGGGCCAUAUGAAGUUCAGCAGCAGAUGUUGUGAUUUUAUGGCACUGGCUGCAGGUGUGCAGGUCCCUCAGUGUCAUGCCAACAAAACCACUGAAACCCUGACUAGCUGUUUCCUUCUCAGAGGUGGAAUUUGUGAAUAAAAACAGCUAUUUGGACUUUGUAUUUUUCCGUGCAUUUCAUAUAAUUCAUAUCAACAGGGUGUCUAUCUCGGUGUUACAGUCUGUUUGACCCCAACUUAAUUUUACGCUGGAGUAGCCCUUUAAAUGACAUUAAAAACGUAUGAGAGAAAUGUGCAUUCCUUUACUCACUCUCACUAUUUUGUGUCCAUGGAAAUAAUAUCAGCAAAAGAUUCACAGCAACAUACCGAUAGCAUGGCAGUGAAGGAACCCGCACACCACUUUGCAGCAUGCUGCAAAACUACCUGCAUAUGGCAUGUCGUUCAAAUCAAACCGUUUAAGCUUUAAUCUAUUUGUAAAUUUGGUCAUUUUCAGGUCAUCAUGGAAUUUCUGACAAAGCAAGAGCCUGACUAUAAUGCUGUCCAGGAACAUCUCAACAUUUUUCUAAAGAAUGAAACAAACGACAAUCUCGAAGAGGUAGAGAGUAUGAAAAAGAGUUGCAGAAUAAAUGGAUUGCUGGUUGUUCACAAAAUAAACUUCUUCUUGGCUUUGUGGCAGGAUGAAGAUGAAGAACUGCAGAGAUCAAAGUCUGCAUUUGUGAAGCAGAUUCAGACACUCCUAAAGGACAAAUAUGAAAAGGAUAAAUUUGUCAAAGUGAGUUCAUCUGCUGUUCAAACUCUAUUUUAAAAAAAAAUAUCCCUUUGUGCUUCUUCACCUUGUAUCAAUGCGAUGUUUCCCUGUUAAAGGAGGUCUUUCCAGAGCUGUAUGGCGCCCGUUUUGACACAGUGUUACAGAUUUUGGUGUGGGAGUUCCUCUACAGACUGGAGGAGUUCCUUCCUGUACCGAAUUUCUCAAAGGUAAGAAGCAAACAGUCAUGUUUGGUCACCUUCAGAUGAGCAAUUGAUUUCCAGGACUGCAUGAAUAGAGUGAUUUCAACUGUAAUAUAUCUGCCCUCUGUGGAUGUAAGAGGAAAGGGUCGAACAGUUACCAAAGAGAAAUUUGAUUUUGGUGAUGAGCUUCAUUUCUCUCUUUCCUUCUUUCUCUCUCUUUUCUUUUUUAGGUAUCCUCUUUCAUUGACCUGUCCUCCUUUGACUCCCACUUUGAUCAGUUUUUCUGUGAUCAAGAUUAUUUAAAGAGCAUUCUUCAACAUCAGAAGCAGAGAACAAAGUUGACAAAAAGUAAGUAUUAAUUGUGUUACAUUUUGUAUUGAUAAGAAAAGCAUCAAGUAAACUCAGUUUUUUAGCAUUUCUCAGCCUUUGGUUAAAUAAAAUUACUAUAUUUCCAUCACAGAUUCAUCAGGAACACAUAAAUAAAAAGUUCCUGUGCAUGAAAAAUUCAUUUUUGGAUUGUUGGUAUCUCUGAGUGCUGAUGACAAUGAUUUCUGCUUCAGGUGAAUUCUCCUUCACAUCAGACACUAUCCUGGCUGCUCUGGCAUCUAAACAGCCAUCAGCACCACCAGAAAGUCCGAUUGAAGACUUAAGGGAUGAAGAGGGUGUGGAAGAUUGUGCAGAUUUAAGAGCUGGAAAAGGUGAACACGUCAGUGAUGAAGAGACAGAUGACAGUGCAGUGGAGCCUUCACACUCUCAGUGGCAGGACAGAGGGCUGUCUCCGUUAACUAACUCUCCAUACUCUGAAGGAGGUGGGAUGGCAGAGGAAGAUGGUGGGUAUCCUUAAUGUCAUAAAUGAGUUACUACUAGAGCUUUUAAAUGACUUAGCAUUAGUUCUGGUAGGAUCCUUGUAUUAAACAGUUCAAUUUAAAAUAAUAAAUAUGUUUGUUUUAUCAUGUAAAGAUCACAAUAAUUAUAGUUUUGGAUUAAAUUUAAGGCCUUCUUUUAUUGUCCUUUCACAUUAAGAUUACGUUUUAGAGCACAUGAUUUCUCAUGCAGCAGACAAACAACAGUUUGGCUGUUAAUCACGUGAAUCUCAAUCACAGAAAGGCCAAAACUGUGAUCAUACAUCCGUUGCCUUCUCUCUGCUGUAACUCUCAACAUGAACUAUUAUUCCUACAUACCAAAAGACAAAAACCACAACACUUCUCAUACCAAAUUCUGGAUGCAGAUCCUGUAUGAAUGAUGAGAGGAGUCUGGACUUGAACUUAACACAACUGAAGAAAACAGGGGUUUACAGGUUAGCUCAUGAUGACGAGGAGUACAAACCUCUGUUCACAGAAUCAAAACUAACCCAAACUUUUUUCCUCAAACAUUGCCCUUCACAUGGCAUCAUGGGUAAUUAAGUCCUUUUAAUAUAGUACAAGCCAUUUGGCCUCUUAAUCAUUUCCUGAAUUCAAACUUCAAAAAACAAAUAAACCAAUGAGUCUCCUUUUAACUUAUUAUUUACCAUGUUAACUGUUUAUGUCUAACAUGAAGUCAGUGACUGCUUUACUGGGCAAUUAUUAAUUAAAGUUCCAACAAGCGGGACUUUUGCAUUAUUCUAGGAGGAUGUGUUGGAACCCUAACCCUAGAAAUCCAAUUAGACAAACAUUUUAGCUCCUGCUUCAGAGCUGGUAAUCUGCCAGCAUAAGAAAGACUUCAAGUGGCACAAGUGUCUGGAAACUGAUCCAUGGAUGGGUGUGGGUUAAUUGGUCGAACAUGAGCUAGUUCAGUACUACAAACCAACAUUUUUAGAUGCCGCUGAUUAGCUAAGGAACAGUAAAUAAUGACCUGUAAAAGCUCUUGAGAUUGUUAAAAAUGGAGAAAAGCACAAGAAAAUGGCAAUGAACACGAUCUAGACUCAGCAAUGCAUAUUCUUUAAUCAUCCCACCACAUUGCAAAGAAGUGCCAUGUAAAGACAAGAAAACUUGAAACUGCAAACACACCCCUCCUACCACCGUGUCCUCCAUAUUUUCAAGCUGUAUUGAGUGAGUGAAGUUGGUCUAAGGACUGUUGACCAGCUCAGGUCACUUUGGGAUUCAUAUCAGCCAUCACUGUGGUGGUGCCAAGCUGAUAGGAGAAAAGUCCCCAUAGUGAGUAGUUCUUGAAAACCAUGCUAGUGAACAGGUCUUUAAACUGUUUGGUCAAAAAAGACAAGUAUUUUUAUCCUGUUGUUUUUCUUUUAGGUAAUACCAGCAACGUGGUCCUUCAAGGCACUCAUAGUUCUCUACAAGUUGCCUACGAGACACAAGUGACACUCCUGGAGGAAAAGUCAGAAGACUCUUCAGCCAACAGUGCGUUUGUGCAGGAAAGUUUCCACUCUGGAGGGUUACGGGUAAACUUGCCUUCCAGUUUAAAAGAAAUUGAGGAUCUCACCUGUCCUGUGUGCUUCAAGACUUUUAAGAGACCAAGAACUGUAAAGCGUCAUCUAAAAAGUGCACACCCGAUGCCUGAGCAGGUGUUCCGCUGUGACAAAUGCGACAAGACUUUCCAGGCUAAGUGGCGUUUGGACCAGCACUAUCAAGCUCACUCCAUCAAGAAGCCGUAUGUUUGUUCCCACUGCGGCAAAGGGCUUUCCUGUCCAAAAGUGUUAGAAACUCAUAUGCGACUUCACACAGGGGAGCGUCCAUAUGCCUGCAAGUUAUGUGAUAAGAAAUUUGACCAGAAGUACACGCUGACUCAACACAUCAGAAUGCACAAUGGGGAGAAACCGUACCUGUGCAGCGUGUGCGGGAAAACCUUUGCUCUCAAGGGAGCUCUGCGGGUCCAUACACGUCUGCACACCGGUGAAAGACCGUACCACUGCAAGGAAUGUGGACUGAGUUACAGAACAAUGCAAACUCUUAAAAGCCACCAAACACUUCACACAAAUGAGCGUCCAUACACCUGCUCUCAGUGUGGGAAGAGUUUUCGCCUCCAAAGUGGAUAUAAAAAACAUGUAAGAAUUCACACUGGAGAGAGACCAUACCAGUGUGUCGUGUGUGAGAAAAAGUUUUACACAUCCAGCAAUCUGAGGAUACACAUGAAAAGUCACAAAACAACGAAAUCAAGCAAAGCAUCUCCAGAGUGAUCCUUGUUCUUUGCAUUCUGACACGUUUGUGUUUUCAUUUGUUUUAUCAAAAGUAAGCAAAAUUAAGUCUUUAAAAGAUUUUCUACUUUGACCCAAAUGUCCCGACAUCUUCAAUCACGCACGUUUGGAUGUUUAUACAAUUGUACACAGUUGUUUCACAUUAGUGUUUAACUACAAAGCUUGACGAACAAUUCCUCUGUUGUCUUUUUUUGAAAAAAUGAUUAUUUAUUUAUAUAAAAUAAAAAAUAUUAUCUGGCCUUUGCAAGUUGGGUUUGGUUUUCCAAAAUAAAAGAAAGAUCAGAUCUAAAAUUUGA
rnacentral:lncRNA from 1 species